AACGAACGCUGGCGGCAUGCCUAACACAUGCAAGUCGAACGAUGGUCUUCGGAUCAUAGUGGCGCACGGGUGCGUAACGCGUGGGAAUCUGCCCUUGGGUUCGGAAUAACAGUUGGAAACGACUGCUAAUACCGGAUGAUGUCGAUAAGACCAAAGAUUUAUCGCCCGAGGAUGAGCCCGCGUCGGAUUAGCUAGUUGGUGGGGUAAAGGCCUACCAAGGCGACGAUCCGUAGCUGGUCUGAGAGGAUGAUCAGCCACACUGGGACUGAGACACGGCCCAGACUCCUACGGGAAGCAGCAGUGGGGAAUAUUGGACAAUGGGCGCAAGCCUGAUCCAGCAAUGCCGCGUGAGUGAUGAAGGCCUUAGGGUUGUAAAGCUCUUUUACCCGGGAAGAUAAUGACUGUACCGGGAGAAUAAGCCCCGGCUAACUCCGUG
rnacentral:rRNA from 1 species